rnacentral:misc_RNA from 1 species
CAGAGUUGCAAGACUCCCUAAACCAUUGUGAACCUACCUUCUACCGUUGCUUCGGCGGGCGGGCCCAGCGCCCCCCCCCGGCCCCCCGCGGGCGCCCGCCGGAGGAUACCCCAAACUCUUGACAUUAGUGGCCUCUCUGAGUAUUCUUUACUGAAUAAGUCA